UAUUCCUGGUUAGCUCCCAGUUCCAAGUUCUUAGUUUCCUGUUUCGGUUUCGUUUUCUUGUAUUUAGUGUUCCUGAGUUUUUGGUGUUACAGCAAAAAAGCCGCCCCCUUUAGUUCAUCCUUAAGUAUUUGUAAGUAUUCCUACUUAAGUAUUCCUACAAUUGGUGUCCCAACCUCUGCCUGCCACGCAGACGGUUAUGACAAAAACAGUUUCAGCCUCAGUGUCUUCAAAUUGCGGUAUUGGAUGUCACUUAUGAAUUCUUGUGGGUACAAGUUAUUAUACAUGCCCUAGGAUCUUACUGUAUGUUCAACAUCAGGUGGAUGGAACCAUGGAACAAAAUAUAAAUAAAUAUCUGAGAAGCAUUUUGGUAUCUUUCAUUUUGUCAAGAUAUUCAAUAUUGUCUAACAUUUGCUUUUCAAUUUCAGAUUCUGUUACAACCUUGACAGUGAUAGCAACUGUCAUCACGCUCUUUAUCGUUGUAGCUUUGAGUUCGGCUGUAAAACAGUUUUGUAAAAAAACAAGACCAACAACUGUUGAUGAGGAUGAUGUCGACAGUGACAUAAUCUACAGAGAUGUUAAAGUGACAAAUGAUAACAAAUUAAACAUAAUUAACUCAAGAGAAUCAGCUGGGAUAGGUUACAGCACUAAUGUUGUCUAUGAAGUGGAUCAGCCAUGAAGAAGAUGG
ensembl:lncRNA